rnacentral:rRNA from 1 species
GUGGGGAAUAUUGGACAAUGGGGGGAACCCUGAUCCAGCCAUGCCGCGUGUGUGAAGAAGGCCUUUUGGUUGUAAAGCACUUUAAGCGAGGAGGAGGCUACCGAGAUUAAUACUCUUGGAUAGUGGACGUUACUCGCAGAAUAAGCACCGGCUAACUCUGUGCCAGCAGCCGCGGUAAUACAGAGGGUGCAAGCGUUAAUCGGAUUUACUGGGCGUAAAGCGCGCGUAGGUGGCCAAUUAAGUCAAAUGUGAAAUCCCCGGGCUUAACUUGGGAAUUGCAUUCGAUGCUGGUUGGCUAGAGUAUGGGAGAGGAUGGUAGAAUUCCAGGUGUAGCGGUGAAAUGCGUAGAGAUCUAGAGGAAUACCGAUGGCGAAGGCAGCCAUCUGGCCUAAUACUGACACUGAGGUGCGAAAGCAUGGGGAGCAAACAGGAUUAGAUACCCCGGUAGUCC